rnacentral:misc_RNA from 1 species
GUAGGUGAACCUGCGGAAGGAUCAUUAACACUUUUUUCUUUACCCAUCUCUCUCUUAUCAAAACACCUUAGUUGAAACGAUCAAAAACAAAACAUAUUUAUUCUCUUAUUUAACUCCUUACCGAGUGUAAUUAAAUCUAAUUCAAAACCAAAACAAACAAAAACCAAAAACAAACAAACAAAAACAAAAACAAAAACAACUCUUAACAAUGGAUAUCUUGGUUCUCGCAUCGAUGAAGAACGCAGCAUCU